UACGUAGGGAGCAAGCGUUGUUCGGAUUUACUGGGCGUAAAGGGCGCGUAGGCGGCGCGGUAAGUCACUUGUGAAAUCUCUGAGCUUAACUCAGAACGGCCAAGUGAUACUGCAGUGCUAGAGUGCAGAAGGGGCAAUCGGAAUUCUUGGUGUAGCGGUGAAAUGCGUAGAUAUCAGGAGGAACACCAAUGGCGAAGGCAGCUCACUGGGACGGUAUUGACGCUGAGACGCGAAAGCGUGGGGAGCAAACAGG
rnacentral:rRNA from 1 species